UACAGAGGUCUCAAGCGUUGUUCGGAUUCAUUGGGCGUAAAGGGUGCGUAGGCGGCGCGGUAAGUCGGGUGUGAAAUCUCGGAGCUUAACUCCGAAACUGCAUUCGAUACUGCCGUGCUUGAGGACUGGAGAGGAGACUGGAAUUUACGGUGUAGCGGUGAAAUGCGUAGAUAUCGUAAGGAAGACCAGUGGCGAAGGCGGGUCGUCUGGGCCACUACUGACGCUGAGAAGGCGAAAGCAUGGGGAGCGAACAGG
rnacentral:rRNA from 1 species